ensembl:lncRNA
UGGUAUGUAGCUGCACCACUUGCAGGGAGCCAGGUCAGUGGCAGAAGGCCAGCUGGGACAAAGGCAGAAUAGCUAAGCUCAAAGAUUUGAAAAUCUGGCCUUGAAGGGUUUGUGUAGAGACACAAAGGGAAAUCUGGGACUUUGGAAAGAAACCCACAGCAAACGUGGCACCUCGAGGGCUAAAUGGAGGAGAAGAAAGAUGAAGAGGAUGCACAGCUGCCAAAACUGCUGGUCCAUGUCUGCUAAUCCCCAAACAGCGUACAGUGUGCUCAGCCAGAAGCAUGGGUGUGUUCGUGUACAUCUGUUGGAGAAUGAAGAAACUCAAUUCACAUCACAGAGAAGGAGGUUUGUCUGCUGUCCUGCAGUCACGUGUACCACGGCAGAAGAAACCUGAAAGAACUGGUCAAGGUCACAAAGAGACAAAAAACAAUUUGAAAGAUGUUUUCAAGACACUCUGCCUUGAUUCAGUGUCUCCACUGCAGUUUUCCUGCCUGGUUUUGUGCUCCCAAGUUAUAAUUCCCUAUCAAGUUUUCUUUUCUUAUAAAAGAGCAAAAUGGAUAUCAUGUUUAUUGCUAGAAGUAGUGCAAUGCUUCUUUCAAUUCAGGUUAUGAAAACAACUUGCUGAAUGCUGAUGUGUAUUACUGAAUGAAACGUGAUCCUAAAAAGCUUCACUUGCUUGUUAGGCUUGCUUGUCUUGUUUACAAUGUCAUUUCUAUUUCAAGUGUUUUUAAAAACAGAUGCUUCCAAGAAUGACACCAGUCUGAUACAAGACCAGUCUGAUGGUCUUGUGAAACUGCCUUGCAAAUUUGCCAGGCAAGUUCAAAAUUUGUUGCCUCACCUAUCAGCAUUAAUAAAAACAACAUCUAUUUUCUUCAUCUGAAAGAAGAAAGAAAAAAAUAAGAGAGAAAAAGGAGAGAAGAGAGAUGAAAGUAGGAGAACGUACAUAGAGUUAGAGCUGCAUUUGGUGGCAGAGCUCUGCUACUGAAGAGCUUUAAGUACUUCAGCAGCUCAUUGCCCUGUCAGUGUUAGCCCUCCACAAGCUCUGUACCAGCCUUAAAAACAAGUGUCUUCAUGAUAGCAAAUUGCUCCACAGACUGAAGUUUCAAAGAGAAAUGCAUCUCCAAAUAAACAUAUUUUAU